rnacentral:misc_RNA from 1 species
AAGUCGUAACAAGGUUUCCGUAGGUGAACCUGCGGAAGGAUCAUUAACGAAUGAAGUUGAGCAGGGUUGUUGCUGGCCUCCGGGCAUGUGCACACCUUGUUCUUCCAACCUUCUACACCACUGUGCACUUUCUCAUGGGUUGGGGUUCUGCACCUUUAAUGGCUGCGUCCCUGCCUGUGUGCCUACACAUACACAUGUUUGUUAUAGAAUGUCUACUGUGCAUGAAUGCAUAUAAUACAACUUUCAGCAACGGAUCUCUUGGCUCUC